rnacentral:rRNA from 1 species
ACGGGUGAGUAACACGUGGGUAACCUGCCCAUCAGAAGGGGAUAACACUUGGAAACAGGUGCUAAUACCGUAUAACAAUCGAAACCGCAUGGUUUUGAUUUGAAAGGCGCUUUCGGGUGUCGCUGAUGGAUGGACCCGCGGUGCAUUAGCUAGUUGGUGAGGUAACGGCUCACCAAGGCCACGAUGCAUAGCCGACCUGAGAGGGUGAUCGGCCACAUUGGGACUGAGACACGGCCCAAACUCCUACGGGAGGCAGCAGUAGGGAAUCUUCGGCAAUGGACGAAAGUCUGACCGAGCAACGCCGCGUGAGUGAAGAAGGUUUUCGGAUCGUAAAACUCUGUUGUUAGAGAAGAACAAGGAUGAGAGUAACUGUUCAUCCCUUGACGGUAUCUAACCAGAAAGCCACGGCUAACUACGUGCCAGCAGCCGCGGUAAUACGUAGGUGGCAAGCGUUGUCCGGAUUUAUUGGGCGUAAAGCGAGCGCAGGCGGUUUCUUAAGUCUGAUGUGA